rnacentral:lncRNA from 10 species
AGAACUGUGAGUGCAACUUGAAGUUUCUGGAAACAUUUAAUAUUUCAUUAUUCCGAAGGAAAAGGCCUUGAUUAAAGUGUUUUUAACAUAAGCAAGUAAAGUAAAAGGUGCCAUAGCUAGGCAGUGGCUCAUACCUGUAAUCCCAACUACUUGGGAGGCUGAGGAGGGAGAAUCGCUUGAGCCCAGGAGUUUGAGCUUGGAGCGAGUUAAUGGCUGCAAUACUGCACUCCAGCCUUGGUAAUAGAGGGAGGUCUUGUCUCUUGAAAGAGAAAGGUGCCACAUACCUUCCAUUGAAUAAAAGUUGGCUGCUAUGCUAGCCAUCUCAAUUAGCUACACUCUAAAUGUGGAGCUUGCAGAUAAGUUAAAAAUCAUAAUAGUGCUGAUAGUUUCUAUUUACCUCACUUAAAUCCUCCAAGUCUAUCCCUUAAUCAAUGCAGCAAUGAUAAAUCAGGCCCCUGUGCAUGUCAGCAGUUCAAAACAGAUUUUACUACUGUAGGGGCAUAUUUUUAACUACCAGAACAUUCCAGUUUAUUUUUUGAGAGCCUGUAGAUUUGUGCGGUUACACAUAGUUUCAUAUAAUUGAGCCUGGAAGUUGGCAUUGAAGUUUCCUCCAUAUGCUGGGCCAUGAGAACCUUUGGGAGUGGAUGUGGCUUUAGCUGGAGUCAAUACAAUUCAAUGAGAGAAACAUCAGAUAUGAGUUUAGGGGAAGAUUCUUGCCAAAAUAACUUGUGCAAUGAUGUUUCCCUCAAUUACUUUCUCCUCCAUUCAUUUAUGUAUGCAUUCCACUCUUCUCUGAGUCCAGAGGUAGAGCAAGGAGCACAAACUGGGAAGAACACUGCAGUGCUGUUUUGUGUGUGAGUCACAAUCUACAGACAAAGGAAAAUUGAGACAUCAAGGGACUCACUGGAGGGGCCCUCUGGGACACAAGCCACAAUUAUUAGUCAAGAGUUAUAACACAGUGUUUUUAAUAAUAGGACAGUAGAGCUACUGGCUACCAUUUAGUCCUGAGUUUCUGGGUUUUUUUUUUUUUUUUUGUGGGGGAGCGGGGGGAAGUCAGGGUCUUGCUAUGUUGCUGGAACUAAUCUCAAACUCCUGGCCUCAAGUGAUCCUCCUGCCUUUGCCUCCCAAAGUGCUG